rnacentral:rRNA from 1 species
GACGAACGCUGGCGGCGUGCUUAACACAUGCAAGUCGAACGGAAAGGCCCUGCUUUUGUGGGGUUCUCGAGUGGCGAACGGGUGAGUAACACGUGAGUAACCUGCCCUUGACUUUGGGAUAACUUCAGGAAACUGGGGCUAAUACCGGAUAGGAGCUCCUGCUGCAUGGUGGGGGUUGGAAAGUUUCGGCGGUUGGGGAUGGACUCGCGGCUUAUCAGCUUGUUGGGGGGGUAGUGGCUGACCAAGGCUUUGACGGGUAGCCGGCCUGAGAGGGUGACCGGCGACAUUGGGACUGCGAUACGGCCCAGACUCCUACGGGAGGCAGCAGUGGAGAAUAUUGCACAAUGGGCGGAAGCCUGAUGCAGCAACGCCGCGUGCGGGAUGACGGCCUUCGGGUUGUAAACCGCUUUCGCCGGUGACGAAGAGUGAGUGACGGUAAUGGGUAAAGAAGCACCGGCUAACUACGUG